AGAACGAACGCUGGCGGCAUGCCUAACACAUGCAAGUCGAACGAGACCCCAACUUCGGUUGGACGUCUAGUGGCGCACGGGUGCGUAACGCGUGGGAAUCUGCCCUUCGGUUCGGAAUAACUCGGAGAAAUCCGUGCUAAUACCGGAUAAUGACGUAAGUCCAAAGAUUUAUCGCCGAGGGAUGAGCCCGCGUAGGAUUAGCUUGUUGGUGAGGUAAAGGCUCACCAAGGCGACGAUCCUUAGCUGGUCUGAGAGGAUGAUCAGCCACACUGGGACUGAGACACGGCCCAGACUCCUACGGGAGGCAGCAGUGGGGAAUAUUGGACAAUGGGCGAAAGCCUGAUCCAGCAAUGCCGCGUGAGUGAUGAAGGCCUUAGGGUUGUAAAGCUCUUUACCCGGGAUGAUAAUGACAGUACCGGAGAAUAAGCUCCGGCUAACUCCGUGCCAGCAGCCGC
rnacentral:rRNA from 1 species